AUUCCAGCUCCAAUAGCGUAUAUUAAUGUUGUUGCAGUUAAAAAGCUCGUAGUUGGAUUUCUGGAUUGAGCGGCUGGCCUUGCGCGCAAGCGUUCGUGUCGGCUUCGUUUCGGUCCAUCCUCAGGGGGACUUGCGCUGGCAUUAACGUGUCGGUGUUGGGACACCUGUCGUUUACUGUGAACAAAUUAGAGUGUUCAAAGCAAGGUGUACUUGAAUACAUUAGCAUGGAAUAAUAAGAUAGGACUUUGGUGGUUCUUUUUGAUAUUUUGUUGGUUUGCACGCCAAAGUAAUGAUUAAUAGGAGCAGUUGGGGGUAUUCGUAUUCAAUUGUCAGAGGUGAAAUUCUUGGAUUUAUAGAAGACGAACUACUGCGAAAGCAUUUACCAAGGAUGUUUUCAUCA
rnacentral:rRNA from 1 species